AAGGAUUUAAGUUAAAGAGCAAACUAAUAGCCUUCAAAGCUGUAAAUAGGUUAUACCUAAGCCUUA
rnacentral:tRNA from 1 species